AGGAAGGUAAUCUUCCAGAAAAAACAAAAUAAAACCUCUCAUAAUAAUCAAACAUGACGUCAUAUUUCAAAGUGACGUCAAUACUGAAAAUGCAUUCCGGAUGAAAAAAUGAUUUUUUCAAUCUUUUGUGUCCAAAAAUGUAUCCAUAUUACAUACUUAGACAAAAAACUAUCCACAGGAUUAAUAAAACAAA
rnacentral:lncRNA from 1 species